CAUAGGGGUAGGACUGUGGGAGAUGUGGAAUUUUUCUACUAUUUUAUUCAAUCAGAAAGCAAUCCAUCAAAAGAUCCUCUCAUCCUAUGGCUCACUGGAUGCCCUGGUUGCAAAUAUCAUCUUCCAAGACUUACCUGCUGGCAUUGGAUUUUCUUAUUCAACGAGAUUGCAAGGUUUUGAGGCCGGGGAUAAACUAUUUGCUAAUGAUGGGUAUAAUUUUGUGAGGAAGUGGCUGCGAAGUCAUCCCAAGUUCAUCACAAACUCACUCUAUAUUGCCGGUGAUCCAUACGCUGGUAAAAUUGUUCCCAUAAUUGCUCAAGCAAUAUCAGAUGGUAUCAAAGACGAAUACGUUCCAGCCAUCAAUCUCAAAGGUUAUUUGGUCGGUAAUCCUGCAACGGGUUCGAAAUAUGAUGACAACUCAAAGAUUCCAUUUUAUAAUCUCAGCCAAAAGGAAUUGUAUAGAAGAAUACGUAGAAGCGAACAUGAGUGUGCAAAAGAUCUUGAAGUUAUCUCAAAGAAUUUAAUUCCAAGAUGGAGGAUGAGCUGGGGAAAGCCAAUGCAGUGGUUGAUGCACUAAGCGCAAAGUAGAGCUUGUAGCAAUCAGUCAGUUGAUAGUUCCCUAUUGGAGUGCAUUAGAGAAUGAUUGAUCUAUGAUCCUACAACUAAACGUUGAUUGAGCUUACCAAAGAAGGGAAAAUGAGGCGAUAUGGGCUUGAAGCAGAUUUAUUGUAUACUCAGGGGGAUUGUCUUUAUGUGCCUCAAUAUGAGAAAUUGUGCAAAAAGAUCAUGAAAGAGUGUUAUGAUUCGAGAUGGGCUAGCUAUCCAGGUGAGCCCUAGUUCGUGGACUUGGAGCUGGGCGGGAUUCAGAGUGGCCACGAAGAUUAAAUUUCUAGUUUUUUUUUUAAAUAAGUUUCAAUUAGCUUCCUUUUAAAUUUCGCAUUUAUUUUUGAUUAUUUCUAUUUUGGUUAAAGUUGUAAUAAGGUCGCUUUAUUAUUUUUAUUUUGGGUUUUUAAAUUACUUAAAUCGUUUUCAA